AACGAACGCUGGCGGCAUGCCUAACACAUGCAAGUCGAACGGGACCUUCGGGUCUAGUGGCGCACGGGUGCGUAACGCGUGGGAACCUGCCCUUAGGUUCGGAAUAACUCCCCGAAAGGGGUGCUAAUACCGGAUAAUGUCUUCGGACCAAAGAUUUAUCGCCUUUGGAUGGGCCCGCGUUGGAUUAGCUAGUUGGUAGGGUAAAAGCCUGCCAAGGCGACGAUCCAUAGCUGGUCUGAGAGGAUGAUCAGCCACACUGGGACUGAGACACGGCCCAGACCCCUACGGGAGGCAGCAGUGGGGAAUAUUGGACAAUGGGCGAAAGCCUGAUCCAGCAAUGCCGCGUGAGUGAUGAAGGCCUUAGGGUUGUAAAGCUCUUUUACCCGGGAUGAUAAUGACAGUACCGGGAGAAUAAGCUCCGGCUAACUCCGUG
rnacentral:rRNA from 1 species